rnacentral:lncRNA from 1 species
GAUUCAACAUGAUGGAACUGAAAACUUCAUUGCUUUAAACAAUAAACAAACCAGUAUUGUCAAGUUUUCCAGGCUGCUCUAAACCUUACAAAGUUCAAGCGAACCUCCUGACUUAGCCUCCAGAGUUUUUGUGAGCACUGACAACUCAAAAACAGCAUGACACCUGGUAUGUCAACAACCACGGGGAAAAGGGACCAACUGAAGAGUAAGAAAACUUCUGUGCUACUCAUGGUGCUGUCAGGAAAGUAAAAAGACAACCUACAGAAUGUGAAAAAUAUUUACAUAUCAUGUAUCUGGUAAGAUUAUAGUAUUUGUAAUAUAUAAUGACUUAUAACACAACAAUGCAAGACUACUAAAUAAAAUUGGUCAUUUAUACAUUUGCAAAUAAUAUAUUAAAAUGACCAAUAAAUAUGAAAGGGGGCUCAAGUCAUUAGUUGCUUGAAAAACACCAAUUCAAAUUAUAAUGAUUUCACAAUUCCAAUCAGCUUAUCUGAUGAUUUGAUUGAGAAUGGGCCUCUUAGGGUAAAAUUGUCAAAUAUUUAGCUCCAGUUGGUGGGCCUGUUAAGGGAAGGAUGAGAAGGCAUGGCCUACGUGGAGGUAUGGCACUGGGACCUGGCUUUGAGGCUUCAAACUCCCUGGGCCAUCCCAGUGUUCUCUCCGUGCUUUCUGUCUCCCUUCUAGGGACCAAGAUGUAAGCUUUCAACUGUUCCUGUUACUAUGGCUUUGCUUUGCCUUCAUAAAUAUUAACCAUCUAAAACUUUAAUCUUAAUU